CCCGUAGGAGUACUCCUACGGGAGGCAGCAGUGGGGAAUAUUGGACAAUGGGGGCAACCCUGAUCCAGCCAUGCCGCGUGUGUGAAGAAGGCCUUCGGGUUGUAAACCACUGUCGGGAGGGACGAAUACAGGGCGUCGAAUAGGCGACCCUGGGUGACGGUACCUCCAAAGGAAGCACCGGCUAACUCCGUGCCAGCAGCCGCGGUAAUACGGAGGGUGCGAGCGUUGUCCGGAAUCACUGGGCGUAAAGGGCGCGUAGGUGGCUCGUUAAGUUGCCGGUGAAAACCCGGGGCUCAACCCCGAGGGUGCUAUCCGGACUGCCAAUCUGGAGGUCGGCAGAGGGUAAUGGAAUUCCCGGUGUAGCGGUGAAAUGCGUAGAUAUCUGCAGGAACACCCGUGGCGAAAGCGGCAUACUGGACCACAACUGACGCUGAGGCGCGAAAGCUAGGGGAGCAAACAGGAUUAGAUACCCUGGUAGUCCUAGCCCUAAACGAUGAAUGCUUGGUGUGACAGGUACCCAAUCCUGUCGUGCCGGAGCUAACGCAUUAAGCAUUCCGCCUGGGGAGUACGGUCGCAAGGCUGAAACUUAAAGGAAUUGACGG
rnacentral:rRNA from 1 species